rnacentral:rRNA from 1 species
GGUUAUGCUAAUAAGAGCGUAUGGUGGAUGCCUUGGCACUAAGAGCCGAUGAAAGACGUGAUAAGCUGCGAAAAGCUUCGGGGAGGAGCAAAUAUCCAUUGAUCCGGAGAUCUCUGAAUGGGGAAACCUACUUGAGAAAACCUCAAGUAUCCACAGCCCAAUCCAUAAGCUGUGGAAGGGAACCCGGUGAACUGAAACAUCUAAGUAGCCGGAGGAAGAGAAAACAACAUGUGAUUCCGUAAGUAGCGGCGAGCGAACGCGGAAGAGCCCAAACCGGAGUGCGUGCACUCCGGGGUUCGGACUGCAGAAUUGACGAGUGAGCCUAGUAGAAUGGUUUUGGGAAAGCCAGCCAGAGAGGGUGAAAGCCCCGUACACGAAAGGCAAGCAAGCAUGGCAGGAUCCAGAGUACCACGAGACACGUGAAACCUUGUGGGAACGCGCGGGGACCACCCCGUAAGGCUAAAUACUCCUUAGUGACCGAUAGCGCAUAGUACUGUGAAGGAAAGGUGAAAAGGACCCCGGGAGGGGAGUGAAAGAGAACCUGAAACCAUAUGUUUACAAGCUGUGGAACAUCUUUAUAUGAUGAACCGCGUACUUUUUGUAGAACGGUCCGGCGAGUUACGCUGGCUGGCGAGGUUAAGCACUGAAGGUGUGGAGCCGAAGGGAAACCAAGUCUGAACAGGGCGAAAUAGUCAGUCGGAGUAGACCCGAAACCGGGUGAUCUAUCCAUGUCCAGGUUGAAGUUGCCGUAAAAGGCAAUGGAGGACCGAACCCACAUCCGUUGAAAAGGGUGGGGAUGAGGUGUGGAUAGGGGAGAAAUUCCAAUCGAACCCGGAGAUAGCUGGUUCUCCUCGAAAUAGCUUUAGGGCUAGCCUCAUGCAAGUCUUACGGAGGUAGAGCACUGAAUUCCUAAGGGGGCGUCAAAGCUUACCAAGGGAUAUCAAACUCCGAAUGCCGUGUAGAUGGUGCAUGGGAGUCAGACUAUCCGAGAUAAGUUGGGUAGUCAAAAGGGAAAGAGCCCAGACCUACAGCUAAGGUCCCAAAAUGUGUGUUAAGUGGAAAAGGAUGUGGGAUUUCGAAGACAACUAGGAUGUUGGCUUAGAAGCAGCCAUCCAUUAAAAGAGUGCGUAAUAGCUCACUAGUCGAGAGGUCCUGCGCCGAAAAUGUCCGGGGCUGAAACACACUACCGAAGCUUAGGAAUUGAUGAAUGUCAAUUGGUAGAGGAGCAUUCUUACCGAGACGAAGCUGUACCGGAAGGAGCAGUGGAUUGGUAAGAAGAGAGAAUGCCGGAAUGAGUAGCGAGAGGAAGGUGAGAAUCCUUCCGGCCGAAUAUCUAAGGUUUCCAGAGUAAAGCUGAUCUGCUCUGGGUAAGUCGGGGCCUAAGGCGAGGUCGAAAGACGUAGUCGAUGGAUAACAGGUAAAGAUUCCUGUACU